rnacentral:lncRNA from 10 species
AGCUUUCUCAGAGUCUGUGGACUGGUUUCCCCUGUCUAUGGCCCAAGGAGCUUGGCUGGAGCAUCAUGACACAUUUGCUGAAGCUCACCUGCAACAGAGUCUCACUUUGACAUCCAGACUGCAGUGCUGUGGCGCGAUUUCAGCUCAUGCAAACUCUGCCUCUCAGGUUCAAGUGAAUCUCAUGCCUCAGCCUCCUGAGUAGCUGGAAUUAUGGGUGCACAUCACCACGCUCAGGUAAUUUUUGUAUUUUUAGUAGAGACAGGGUUUCGCCAUGUUGGCCAGGCUGGUCUUGAACUCUUGACCUCAAGCAAUCUGCCCACCUCGGCAUCCCAAAGUGCUGAGAUUAAAGGUGUGAGCCACCAAGCCCAGCCUGAUCUGUAAUGUUUAAUUCUCAUUCUGUUCUUGCAAAAAGGGAGUGUGCAUGUCUUAUUAUCUCAGGUUUAUAGCCGUGAAAUUCGACUUGCUCAGUGGCAGUGGCAAUGACAGUGAGAAUGACAGUGCCUGGACAUAUAGCCCUUACAGUGCUCUUCUCCAUGAGUUUCUCCAGCCUCCCACAUUAUAAACUAAAUCUUCUACUUGGAGUAGAUGCUCUAAGGGUUAAAAAAAAAAAGGCCCCUA